AGUGAACGCUGGCGGUAGGCCUAACACAUGCGAGUCGAACGGCAGCACAGUAAGAGCUUGCUCUUACGGGUGGCGAGUGGCGGACGGGUGAGGAAUACAUCGGAAUCUACUUUUUCGUGGGGGAUAACGUAGGGAAACUUACGCUAAUACCGCAUACGACCUACGGGUGAAAGCAGGGGAUCUUCGGACCUUGCGCGAUUGAAUGAGCCGAUGUCGGAUUAGCUAGUUGGCGGGGUAAAGGCCCACCAAGGCGACGAUCCGUAGCUGGUCUGAGAGGAUGAUCAGCCACACUGGAACUGAGACACGGUCCAGACUCCUACGGGAGGCAGCAGUGGGGAAUAUUGGACAAUGGGCGCAAGCCUGAUCCAGCCAUACCGCGUGGGUGAAGAAGGCCUUCGGGUUGUAAAGCCCUUUUGUUGGGAAAGAAAAGCAGCAGGUUAAUACCCCGCUGUUCUGACGGUACCCAAAGAAUAAGCACCGGCUAACUUCGUGC
rnacentral:rRNA from 1 species